rnacentral:rRNA from 1 species
GAUGAACGCUGGCGGCGUGCCUAAUACAUGCAAGUCGAGCGAACGGACGAGAAGCUUGCUUUUCUGAUGUUAGCGGCGGACGGGUGAGUAACACGUGGAUAACCUACCUAUAAGGCUGGGAUAACUUCGGGAAACCGGAGCUAAUACCGGAUAAUAUUUUGAACCGCAUGGUUCAAAAGUGAAAGACGGUCUUGCUGUCACUUAUAGAUGGAUCCGCGCUGCAUUAGCUAGUUGGUAAGGUAACGGCUUACCAAGGCAACGAUGCAUAGCCGACCUGAGAGGGGGAUCGGCCACACGGGAACUGAGACACGGGCCCGACCCCUACGGGAGGCAGCCGUAGGGAAUCCUGCGCAAUGGGGGAAAGCCUGACGGGGCAACGCCGGGUGGGUGAUGAAGGUCUUCGGAUCGGAAAACCCUUUUUUUAGGGAAAAAAAUAAUUGGAAGGAAACGUGCACAAUCUGACGGUACCUAAUCAGAAAGCCACGGUUAACUACGUG